UACGGAAGGUCCGGGCGUUAUCCGGAUUUAUUGGGUUUAAAGGGAGCGUAGGCCGCGCCUUAAGCGUGUUGUGAAAUUCGGGUGCUCAACAUCCGGCUUGCAGCGCGAACUGGGGCGCUUGAGUGCGCAGAAAGUAGGCGGAAUUCGUGGUGUAGCGGUGAAAUGCUUAGAUAUCACGAGGAACUCCGAUUGCGAAGGCAGCCUACUGUAGCGCUACUGACGCUGAUGCUCGAAAGCGUGGGUAUCGAACAGG
rnacentral:rRNA from 1 species